GUUCCUAACCCAAAUGGCAUUACCAUAAUAAAAAAUGUUAUAGCGUAUAACCCUUUUACUCUUUAAUUUUUAUUCCUGUUUCUUUUUUUUUUUAUUCCCCACCCACCACCAUUUCUUUUUUUGUCAGUGGGAUUCCAUGGGAAUGGGAUUGGGAUUGUGCUGUUCAGUUUUGUAGCCAGUGUUUUACCCAAGUGUGUUGUGGCCUCUUCUAAUCAUGUUAAUAGCCCCAGAAAUGCCAAAAGAGUGGCGAAGUAACAGAGGUAAAUUGGCUGUCAUUUUAUGCUAUGUCUUCCAUUUCUUACUUUGCUUCUGAUGCAAAUUAUAGAAGUAAUUGUGAAGCAAUUGGACCUCAGAAAGUUGAGUUAAGAUUGCUAGGCAACCUGUUAGUAACGUUUCAUUUUUCCAUUACGUGGUCUCUUUCCUAGUUCA
rnacentral:lncRNA from 1 species